CCAUGCUGUGGACCAUUUCUACCGACACACUGCUGCUGUCUCAGCUGUUGCUGCCACUACAACUUCAGCAGCUAGGAGAGGCAAUGCCAGGAGCGGAUGUAUAGCAUACCCUCUAAGUGAUGGAUUUGAGAGGUCACAAGAAGGCCCUUGUCAAAGCGUCUACCCUGCACUCUACUGAAGGAAGCCUUCCACUUUUAGAAAUUCAGUAUUUUGGUAUAAAUCUUUGAACUUCCCUAAAAUAAACUCAAAUCUCCGUGAAUACUUUUUUGAAGAAGAAGAAGACCAGCCCUGAGCUAAC